GUUACCAAAUCAUCAUUUAAAAACUGCUUCUUGUACUUUCUAGUUUUAUGACAUUGAGUUUUGUUUGAUGCUCUGGUCAUUUAGACACAAAAACCACAAACUAAAAACAUCGGAAAGUGAGCAAACGCUUUCUCACAGCACUCCUUAUUGAUUUCAUUUCAUUUUCAUGUUUCAUUUUUACAUUAUGUCUAACAAAAGCUGUUUGCACUGAGACAGGCGGUGGAGAUUUUCAGAUCAAUAAGUGGGACAAUAAUAAGUACAGGUGGCUUUAUACUUGAAUUUAUUGCAUAAUAUGCUACAUUUUUGUCACAUACAAUGAACAAGCAAUGUUUCACAACUAAACAGUCAAACUUUGCAGAAUCUGAGCUAAAGAUGAGGUAAUCUCCUAUUUAUAUAUUUAUUCAGUAAGUUUUUUGGAAUCGUUCAGCAUAUGUCAUGCCCCGCUCCUCUUUGUUGUCACAUUCUGCUUGAGCACUGAGAGUGACAAGCCUUGAGUUCGCCUACUUUCCGCAUAGUUUGUCGAAUACGCAGGUGAAAAAUGCCUACAAUGGAGCUGAGUUUGGCUGUGCCCCAUUUCCAUCUCCUUGUGCCUCGCUGUGCCUUAAACACACCCUUCUAAAGCACCUCCGCGCCAUAUUUCAAAUACGCUGGAAUGUGUCUGAAAAACGGCUGCCGCUGUGCAGUAUGUAACCCUCAAAAUGCCUGCGCUCGAGGCACAAAAAAAAAAAAAAAAGAAACCUGCGACAAUUCACAUAGGCUGUCGGAUGUAGUGCAGCAGAGGGGCGGUGUGAUCAGGGGAGCUGGGGAAGGCGGCUGCCCUCUCUGUGAUACUCCGGCUGCACACAUACGGCACUGCUUAGAUUCGAGACUCACUCCACAUAAAACUGGUCUCCACUCUCGUAUGCAGCAGUCAGCUCGCAGUUUCUUCGUGGAUGGCGGAACGCUGUCAGCUUCUGUCAUAUGUCUAAACGUCCAAAUGAAAGCUGCGGUUGUGUAUUUGCUGGAUGCUGAUGCAACAGUGGUUCUCAGCGUGCCACUGUGCAGGAAGACCUCUGCUUUGCAUGCAAAUCUGAUUUUGAAAUGUUGCUAACCACUGUUCGUUCUGACAAGGACACACGUUACUGGAACCAGUCAGAAGGCGAUCUGUCCGAGAGUUCUUGAAACCGUUCAUCCCAAAAAUGGAGUAAAAACCGAAAGUGUAGUCAAA